ACUCAACGAUCAUUUCUUUAAAAAGGGUGAGUUUAAGUUGUAAAAUCGUGCUGCUAGUGCUUUAUGCUGAACUUGUUUCAGUCCGUAAAGUAUCUCAGGCAGAUUUUUGAUCAGCUUGUUAGCCCUAAACAUUUUUUUAAGGAGUUU
rnacentral:sRNA from 1 species